rnacentral:lncRNA from 1 species
GCAGAGUUACUCAGGAGACAUUUAUUUCAGCGUUUCCAAGAUGUUUUUUAGCUGGAAGAGCUGUUGCUAUCCAGGAAGCAGCACUUCUCUGCUGUUCCUGCUCUGUGGCUGAUGCCACGGGAAGAGUUUGCCACCUUUGGUCCUCCUCUGCCUGAGUUCUGACAUCGCCGUUGACUUCAGCCCCUCUUGCUGCACUGAGAAACACAGCAGAGUUUGUCAGAGAAAGGAUUUUUUUGCGUGGUUUGGUUUGCUGUGGGGUUGUUUUUCUUCUCUUGGUCACCACUCAGGAAUGUCCCGAGUUAACUUUUCGGACAGCACGCUCCAGCGCCUCAACAGCGAUGUGCUCUGUUUGCUUUUUCUGACACAAACAAAGCUGGAGCCCUGCCAGGGAGGAAAGGGAACGAAGCCAGGGGAAAAAAAGAAGCCAUGGUGUGAGGAAUGUCUUCUGCAGAAGUGCCUGAGGGGGGAAAAAACGACAAAGGAGAGCUGUGAGUCUCUGGGCCAGUUGGGCAGUCCAGCCCAGGGAGGCUCAGCACCUCUGCUCCUCCAGGACAAGCUCUGGAUUCCUCUCAGAUCUUCCUUUUGAGGUUCAAAGAUGAAGGCACUCCAGAGGAAUAUCAGUGUAUUACAGCAGAUUAAAAUUCUCUUGUGGAAAAAUGUCAUGAUCAAGUGGAGGAUGAAGAUGCAGAGCUUUCAGGAGUGGAUUCUGUCCCUGCUCUUCCUGCCCCUGGUGUUCGUGGUGUCCUCGUCCCCGUUCAUGAUGAAAGCCCAGCUCCCCGAAGUGCCCUCCGCCCACCUGAGCUACCUGGAUGACCCUGCCUUCAAUGCCAGCGGGGUCACCGUCGCCUUCACCCCCGCCACUGCCACCACCAGGCACAUCAUGAACAAAGUGGCCUCCAGCUCCCUCAUGACGGGUGAGUUUUGCUUUUUAAACAUUGAAU